rnacentral:rRNA from 1 species
UACGGAGGAUGCAAGUGUUAUCCGGAAUUACUAGGCGUAAAGGGCAGGCAGGCGGAUCCAUAAGUUUAUCGUUUAAGGCGUCGGCUUAACCGGCGUAGGGCGGUAGAUACUGUGGAUCUGGAAUGCGGUUGGGGAAGACAGAAUUCCUGGUGUAGCGGUGGAAUGCGCAGAGAUCAGGAGGAAUACCGAAGGCGAAGGCAGUCUUCCAAGCCGUUAUUGACGCUCAACUGCGAAGGUGUGGGUAUCAAACAGGAUUAGAUACCCUGGUAGU